CAAUAGCGUAUAUUAAAGCUGUUGCGGUUAAAAAGCUCGUAGUUGGAUUUCUGUCAAGGACAACUGGUCCGCCCCUCGGGUGAGCACAUAGUUUGGUCUUGGCAUCUUGUUGGAAACUGUUGCUGCACUUGGUUGUGUGGCGCAGUGUCCAGCACUUUCACUUUGAGGAAAUUGGAGUGUUUCAAGCAGGCACAUGCCUUUGGACACAGUAGCAUGGAAUAAUUAGAUUGGGCUUUUGCUCCAACUUGUCGGUUUCUGGAGCUGAGGUGAGAAUUAAUGGGGAUUGUUGGGGGCAUCCGAAUUUAGCCGUCAGAGGUGAAAUUCUUGGAUCUGCUAAAGACGGACGACUGCGAAAGCGUUUGCCCAGGAUGUUUUCAUUGA
rnacentral:rRNA from 1 species